GGCCCCGUAGCUCAGUUGGAUAGAGCAAUUGACUUCUAAUCAAUAGGUCGCACGUUCGAAUCGUGCCGGGGUCACCA
rnacentral:tRNA from 1 species